AGAGUUUGAUCCUGGCUCAGGAUGAACGCUGGCGGCGUGCCUAAUACAUGCAAGUCGAGCGAACGGACGAGAAGCUUGCUUCUCUGAUGUUAGCGGCGGACGGGUGAGUAACACGUGGAUAACCUACCUAUAAGACUGGGAUAACUUCGGGAAACCGGAGCUAAUACCGGAUAAUAUUUUGAACCGCAUGGUUCAAAAGUGAAAGACGGUCUUGCUGUCACUUAUAGAUGGAUCCGCGCUGCAUUAGCUAGUUGGUAAGGUAACGGCUUACCAAGGCAACGAUGCAUAGCCGACCUGAGAGGGUGAUCGGCCACACUGGAACUGAGACACGGUCCAGACUCCUACGGGAGGCAGCAGUAGGGAAUCUUCCGCAAUGGGCGAAAGCCUGACGGAGCAACGCCGCGUGAGUGAUGAAGGUCUUCGGAUCGUAAAACUCUGUUAUUAGGGAAGAACAUAUGUGUAAGUAACUGUGCACAUCUUGACGGUACCUAAUCAGAAAGCCACGGCUAACUACGUGCCAGCAGCCGCGGUAAUACGUAGGUGGCAAGCGUUAUCCGGAAUUAUUGGGCGUAAAGCGCGCGUAGGCGGUUUUUUAAGUCUGAUGUGAAAGCCCACGGCUCAACCGUGGAGGGUCAUUGGAAACUGGAAAACUUGAGUGCAGAAGAGGAAAGUGGAAUUCCAUGUGUAGCGGUGAAAUGCGCAGAGAUAUGGAGGAACACCAGUGGCGAAGGCGACUUUCUGGUCUGUAACUGACGCUGAUGUGCGAAAGCGUGGGGAUCAAACAGGAUUAGAUACCCUGGUAGUCCACGCCGUAAACGAUGAGUGCUAAGUGUUAGGGGGUUUCCGCCCCUUAGUGCUGCAGCUAACGCAUUAAGCACUCCGCCUGGGGAGUACGACCGCAAGGUUGAAACUCAAAGGAAUUGACGGGGACCCGCACAAGCGGUGGAGCAUGUGGUUUAAUUCGAAGCAACGCGAAGAACCUUACCAAAUCUUGACAUCCUUUGACAACUCUAGAGAUAGAGCCUUCCCCUUCGGGGGACAAAGUGACAGGUGGUGCAUGGUUGUCGUCAGCUCGUGUCGUGAGAUGUUGGGUUAAGUCCCGCAACGAGCGCAACCCUUAAGCUUAGUUGCCAUCAUUAAGUUGGGCACUCUAAGUUGACUGCCGGUGACAAACCGGAGGAAGGUGGGGAUGACGUCAAAUCAUCAUGCCCCUUAUGAUUUGGGCUACACACGUGCUACAAUGGACAAUACAAAGGGCAGCCAAACCGCGAGGUCAAGCAAAUCCCAUAAAGUUGUUCUCAGUUCGGAUUGUAGUCUGCAACUCGACUACAUGAAGCUGGAAUCGCUAGUAAUCGUAGAUCAGCAUGCUACGGUGAAUACGUUCCCGGGUCUUGUACACACCGCCCGUCACACCACGAGAGUUUGUAACACCCGAAGCCGGUGGAGUAACCUUUUAGGAGCUAGCCGUCGAAGGUGGGACAAAUGAUUGGGGUGAAGUCGUAACAAGGUAGCCGUAUCGGAAGGUGCGGCUGGAUCACCU
rnacentral:rRNA from 1 species